rnacentral:piRNA from 1 species
UGGUCUGAUGUUUGGUGUUGCCUGAGUUU